rnacentral:rRNA from 1 species
AGAAUCAACGCUGGCGGCGUGCCUAACACAUGCAAGUCGAACGAGAAAGUGGUAGCAAUACCAUGAGUAAAGUGGCGCACGGGUGAGUAACACGUGACUAACCUACCCUGGAGUGGGGGAUAACUGAGGGAAACCUUAGCUAAUACCGCAUAAUACCCACGGGUCAAAGGAGCAAUUCGCUCGAGGAGGGGGUCGCGGCCGAUUAGUUAGUUGGCGGGGUAAUGGCCCACCAAGACGAUGAUCGGUAUCCGGCCUGAGAGGGCGCACGGACACACUGGAACUGAAACACGGUCCAGACUCCUACGGGAGGCAGCAGUGGGGAAUUUUGCGCAAUGGGGGAAACCCUGACGCAGCAACGCCGCGUGGAGGAUGAAGUCCUUGGGACGUAAACUCCUUUCGAUCGGGACGAUUAUGACGGUACCGGAAGAAGAAGCCCCGGCUAACUUCGUGCCAGCAGCCGC